AUGUUGGCUAAGUACAAGGUAUAAUCUGAAGAUACAACUGGUUGAGAAGAGAGCUCAGAAUGUUUCCAAGUUCACUCACAUGGCUGUUGUUUUUGUGAUGAUGAGAGAGGAAAAUAGAAGUGAUUAUCAUCUCCUCGAGACAUCCUAAAGGAGAAGCAAUAUUUUUGAAGUAAAAGAAAUAAAACCCUC